rnacentral:lncRNA from 1 species
CCCGGGCGCUCCGCCUCGGCCGCGCACACACCCUCGCGCGCACGCCCGCGCCCGGCACACGCCCGCGGCUGGCACACGCUGGCUCCCCCGCGCACCCUCACUGGGGCUGGCCGGCUCGGGGCCGCUCGCACUGUCACGCGCCUACACACAUCACCCCCGCACCCGCAUGCCGGGCAGGGUCCUCGCCUCUUCGCCCCGCGCCGCGCCACGCAGCCAAGCAUCGUCUGCCCGGCUGGGGCGCAGAAAUGAGAGAUCCACCAACAAAAGGAGUCCAGCAAAGGGAAGUCGGAGAAGAAAGGACACGUGGCUGCAGACACACAACACACACGGCUUUCUCUCCUAAAUUACUUCCUUUAACGUAUAUAUGCUACUCCACAGGGAGUGAGGAUGAAGGGCAAAGUGCCUUGGAUCAUGCUCUACAGAUGGCAGAGCAACAAGAUAGAAGAAGGCUGGGUCCUUAGUGACCUCAUGGAGCAGAGCCACUGCAAGUCCUGGACUCAUCAUCUCCACACUGCUGCAUGAGGGAGAAAGAAACUUCCAUAUUAUUUAAAUCAUUGUCAGCUUGAACCUGAUUCUACAUUUUAAUACAUAUCUCUAGGUCUUCCUCAACAAUAUAGUUUGAAUGACUGCAUGUUUUUCUAUCAUGUGAAUGUUCAACAUCAAAAUUUAUUGAAUGAAAAAAAAGUUAUUGAAUUGACCUAAUUCUAACUUGUUGGCCAUUUGUGUUCCUUUCAAACUUUUCUUCAUUUUAAAUACCACUGCAAUAAAUACCCUUGUAGCUAAACCUUCGGGUUUAUGUUACUGAUGGGUUAUUGAUUAUUUCUU